CACACCACGAGAGUUUGUAACACCCGAAGUCGGUGGGGUAACCGUAAGGAGCCAGCCGCCUAAGGUGGGACAGAUGAUUGGGGUGAAGUCGUAACAAGGUAGCCGUAUCGGAAGGUGCGGCUGGAUCACCUCCUUUCUAAGGAUAAUGCAGUCCUCUCGGACUGAUAAAAAGUUGACCGCUUUUUGUUUGUUUAGUUUUGAGGGAGCAAUUCUCUCAAAAAUUCGUUCUUUGAAAACUAGAUAAUCGUAUAGAAGAAACCAAGUAAAAACCGAGUAAAAUCGCCAUUUUAGAAUACUCUCUAUUAAUUUAGAGUAAAACCUUUUAGGUUAAGUUAGAAAGGGCGCACGGUGAAUGCCUUGGCACUAGGAGCCGAUGAAGGACGGGACUAACACCGAUAUGCUUCGGGGAGCUGUAAGUAAGCUUUGAUCCGGAGAUUU
rnacentral:misc_RNA from 1 species